GUAACUUCUCUUUUCUCUUCCUGGUUUCUUCUCUGUGUAUCAUGAGCCAAAUUUAUCCCGUUGUCAAUGCAUAUUGGUGGCUGAGGAUAACCAGCCAUUCUUGUUCAAAUGGGUAUUCCAGUAGUUCUUCACCUCGUUAUCAGUUCGACCAGGAAGCCGACCAGCAAUCAAUGACCAUCUGAUUCAAGAAGUAACACGUUGAAAAUAUUCAAACAUUCAGCAAGUUGUCUCUCUUUACUGUUGGUGACAAUACAUUUACAGGGUGCAAUGAUGACAACUAUGAUUGGAUUCUUCCUAUAUAUGACAGCAAAAUGGGCACCCAACACUGUCAAAUAUUACUCACAGAAUGUUGAAAUGGUGGGUCACGCAUGCAUCAUCAUUGCUCUCUUUGCGCUGGCAGAUUGACGUGCGGGCCCUGGUUUGCUAAAAGCGUAUCUGCCUGCUUCUCAAUCAAGACAGGGCAUGGACACAAUAAGAACAGUAAAAAAAGGAGGAGAUAGAAUGACGACAAUGAAAUUUUGGACCCUUUGAUUUUGAUUGUCGGUGAAGUGAAGGA